AUUGAACGCUGGCGGCAGGCCUAACACAUGCAAGUCGAGCGGCAGCGGGAAAGUAGCUUGCUACUUUUGCCGGCGAGCGGCGGACGGGUGAGUAAUGCCUGGGAAAUUGCCCAGUCGAGGGGGAUAACAGUUGGAAACGACUGCUAAUACCGCAUACGCCCUACGGGGGAAAGCAGGGGACCUUCGGGCCUUGCGCGAUUGGAUAUGCCCAGGUGGGAUUAGCUAGUUGGUGAGGUAAUGGCUCACCAAGGCGACGCUCCCUAGCUGGUCUGAGCGGAUGAUCAGCCCCACUGGAACUGAGACACGGUCCAGACUCCUACGGGAGGCAGCAGUGGGGAAUAUUGCACAAUGGGGGAAACCCUGAUGCAGCCAUGCCGCGUGUGUGAAGAAGGCCUUCGGGUUGUAAAGCACUUUCAGCGAGGAGGAAAGGUUGAUGCCUAAUACGUAUCAACUGUGACGUUACUCGCAGAAGAAGCACCGGCUAACUCCGUGCCAGCCGCCGCAGUAA
rnacentral:rRNA from 1 species